GAUUAUGGCUCAGGAUGAACGCUGGCGGCGUGCCUAACACAUGCAAGUCGAGCGAUUACUUCGGUAAAGAGCGGCGGACGGGUGAGUAACGCGUGGGUAACCUGCCUCAUACACAUGGAUAACAUACCGAAAGGUAUGCUAAUACAGGAUAAUAUAAGAGAUUCACGUGGAUUUCUUAUCAAAGCUCCGGCGGUAUGAGAUGGACCCGCGUCUGAUUAGCUAGUUGGUAAGGUAAUGGCUUACCAAGGCGACGAUCAGUAGCCGACCUGAGAGGGUGAUCGGCCACAUUGGAACUGAGACACGGUCCAAACUCCUACGGGAGGCAGCAGUGGGGAAUAUUGCACAAUGGGCGAAAGCCUGAUGCAGCAACGCCGCGUGAGUGAUGAAGGCCUUCGGGUCGUAAAACUCUGUCCUCAAGGAAGAUAAUGACGGUACUUGAGGAGGAAGCCCCGGCUAACUACGUGCCAGCCGCCGC
rnacentral:rRNA from 1 species